AGAGGAGGCUGCUGGGAAGACAGGACACGUGGAGGGAGCUGGAACUCCUGGAGCCGGGCACCGUCUGCGCGCUGGACGCCGGGCCCAGGGGACUGGGUGGAGUCUCUGGGGGAGUAGCCGGCUGUCUAAAUAAUGCUGCCUCUCUUUGGUGUGACUGGUUAUACUUUGUCUUCUUCAUACGGAGUGGUUCCGUUUUGCGCCUAGGGGCGUAACCCGCCCGGGAGGGAAUCUGGCUGCGGCGGACCAGGGGGCGCGGCUCGGGAUGCCUGCGCGAACCCUCGGGGGCUGGUGGGGAGGUGUCAGUGGCAGGUGUUUCGUGGUGCUACCGGACAGGCAGAAUGACCGACCUCGCCGGGCGACCGCUCCCAGCCGCGAGAAUCCUGUAUUCGUUUAUCUGGGAGUGACCAUCCUCGCUACUCAGCUACUCACGUGAGGCUCCAGCGUUCACACAACGCGAACCCUCAACCACUAUGGACGUGGAAGUAAAAGCCCCUUCAGAGUUUGUUGUAGCCCAGACAGUUUAGGCAAUAUCCCAGCUCAGAGUACCAUAAUUAAGAUUGCAAAAAGGAUCAAUAUGGGAAACUUUUGCAGUUCCCUGUCCAGUUAAAAUCAUAUUUAUAUACUGUGGCAUGAAGUGUAAUCACAUGCAUUCCACCGAUAUUUAUUGAACACCUAACUUGCCACAAGGGGAUGCCAUAACGGAUAAGACCAAAACCAUCCCUGCCUUCAUGCAGCUCACAGCUGUGCAAGCAAGCGUGCCGGUCCUGCCGCCAUUGUAAGAGUGUGCAACAAGUCCCAUGGGAAGGAAGAAAACCAUAACAGACACUUUCCACCCUGAGACAAAGUACCCAUACUACUCCUUUACAUCUGGUCUCCAAAGUGAAUGACAUCUUGAGCUUUUCCCAUGAGUUACUGAUUCCCGGAUGAAUACCAUAUUAUCCCUGACUUUUGAAUGUGGAAAUUUGGGGAUAUGUCACACACAAUUCUUGUGACACACAUUCCUCAACGUGAGCAUGUCAUCUAUGCUGAAAAGACAAAUGUAAAUGUGGUAAUUUUUCCUUUACAUUUUUUCCUUUAAUAUCUAUUGUAUUUCUUUCUCUCUCUCUUUUUUUUUUUUUUUUUUUUUGAGACGGAGUCUUACUUUGUCGCCCAGGCUAGAGUGCAGUGGCGCAAUCUUGGCUCACUGCAACCUCCCUCUCCCGGAUUCAAGCGAUUCUCCUGCCUCAGCCUCCCGAGUAGCUGGGGCAGGCGCCCGCCACCGCGCCCAGCUAAUCUUUGUAUUUUUAGUAGAGACAGGGUUUCACCAACUUGGCCAGGCUGGUCUCGAAACUCCUGACCUCGUGAUACACCCGCCUCGGCCUCCCAAAGUGCUCACGUGCUCACGCCUAUAGCGUGAGCCACCGCUCGCGGUCUAAUAUCUGUUGUAUUUCUUAUUCAGUGAUCCAGUCCUACUAAGUCUGCACAUCUUUGCAAGUGAACUUACCUUUUCUACAUGCUUUUGUCUCAUAGUGUUCCUUUCCUGCUGAGUUGGGGAGACAGAUAUAAGCAGACCAUUAUGUGAUAAGAGCUGAUGGGCUAUUGGGGAGACAGACGGCCACUUUUGAGUGAGUUAAUUAACUGGAUACUAGAAGUUAAAGCUAAUUGAUGAUUACAACAGACAGUUCUUGGGUGCCUGCUAUGAACAGAGCACUCUAGGGCAACCCCGGCUACAAGUUAAAAUCAUCCUAGGAGCUUAAAAAAGUUCCCAUCCCCAGGCCACACCCCAAACCAAUUAAGCCAGAACCUCUGAAGGGGAGAUCCAGACUGAAGGAUUUUUUUUUCCAGACUGAAGGAUUUUUUAAAGCUCUUCCAGUAAUUCCAG
rnacentral:lncRNA from 1 species